rnacentral:lncRNA from 1 species
GUUAUUCAGGCCACUGGGCCUUAAAAUCCUCUGACAGCUACCCUAAACAUGAAUCCAUGACACCUACAAAAACAUUUAAGUGUUUUACUUUAAUGAAUAAGUUUGUUUUAAGGUUUACAUGAUGGUGCCAUGAAUAUAAUGUUCAGAAGACUGCAUUUGGCCUUAUUCUUAUUUUUCUGACUGUAUUAAAAGACGAUAAGAUCUCAAAGCCCAGUGUGAAAAAGCAAAACUGCUUAUUCAGAUCUGUCUUAGUGUACCCUGAGUCUGCAGUAGAAAGUGCUGUUGUUGGUGUGUACUAACUGUGCUUCUGUGUUUGUUUGUUUUUUUUCCAGCAUGUUCCUCAGACCCCAGCUGACUUCAUGUCCUCUCAGAUGACUCCACUCCACUGAGGCCAAAGGUGAGACUGAGGCAGGGAUGCAACUUUAUAAGCCUAGAAAGAAAAGAAAGAUGAGGCUUGAAAAUGGUCUGAUUUGGAGCAUGGCUGCCAACCAUCAUGCAAACAUGAGCUGUUUAAAAUGACUGGUAACACUUUACAAUAACCAUAACUUAUAAAUGGUAAAUUGACCAUUUAUGAAUGGUAAGCAGAUAGUUUAUUAAUAUUUAAAUCAUUUAUAAAUAGCAUAUAAGCCAUAAAUAAAUUGAUGGUUGUGUAUUUCUCUGUGUGUUAACCAGGAGCUGAAAUUACGCCAGGUUUGAUGGUUGUGUAUUUCUCUGUGUGUUAACCAGGAGCUGAAAUUACGCCAGAUCAGGUCAAACUGAGGCAGAACUCAUGACCGGCCUACACCUGGACCCUGUAAGGUAAGACAUUGACUACUUCACUCCACGGACAG